rnacentral:misc_RNA from 1 species
UUUCCGUAGGUGAACCUGCGGAAGGAUCAUUACUGAGUGAGGGCCCCUCGGGGUCCAACCUCCCACCCGUGUUUAACGAACCUUGUUGCUUCGGCGGGCCCGCCUCACGGCCGCCGGGGGGCAUCUGCCCCCGGGCCCGCGCCCGCUGAAGCCACCUGUGAACGCUGUCUGAAGUAUGCAGUCUGAGACAAUUAUUAAAUUAAUUAAAACUUUCAACAACGGAUCUCUUGGUUCCG